rnacentral:rRNA from 1 species
CUUGGUCAUUUAGAGGAAGUAAAAGUCGUAACAAGGUUUCCGUAGGUGAACCUGCGGAAGGAUCAUUACCGAGAACUUGCCCCUUGGGGUAGAUCUCCCACCCAAUGUUUACACACUUUGUUGCUUUGGCAGGCCUGCCUUUUUGUGCUACUGGCCUUGGGCUAGUUAGUGCAUGCCGGAGAACCAACACUCUGAAUCAUUUAUUGUCUGAGCACUAUUUAAUAGUUAAAACUUUCAACAACGGAUCUCUUGGUUCUGGCAUCGAUGAAGAACGCAGCGAAAUGCGAUAAGUAAUGUGAAUUGCAGAAUUCAGUGAAUCAUCGAAUCUUUGAACGCACAUUGCGCCCUCCGGUAUUCCGGGGGGCAUGCCUGUUCGAGCGUCAUUACAACCCUCAAGCUUUGCUUGGUAUUGGGUGCUACCGUUUUGGUACACCUUAAAAUCAGUGGCGGUGCCACCUGGCUUCUAGCGUAGUAAUACUCCUCGCUAUGGAGAUGGGCGUGUACUUGCCAUAACCCCCAAUUUUUUAAGGUUGACCUCGGAUCAGGUAGGGAUACCCGCUGAACUUAAGCAUAUCAAUAAGCGGAGGA